rnacentral:rRNA from 1 species
UACGUAGGGGCAAGCGUUGUCCGGAAUCAUUGGGCGUAAAGAGCGUGUAGGCGGUCCGGUAAGUCGGCUGUGAAAGUCCAGGGCUCAACCCUGGGAUGCCGGUCGAUACUGCCGGACUAGAGUUCGGAAGAGGCGAGUGGAAUUCCCGGUGUAGCGGUGAAAUGCGCAGAUAUCAGGAAGAACACCCGUGGCGAAGGCGGCUCUCUGGGACGGUACUGACGCUGAGACGCGAAAGCGUGGGGAGCGAACAGG